rnacentral:rRNA from 1 species
AGUGAACGCUGGCGGUAGGCCUAACACAUGCGAGUCGAACGGCAGCACAGUAAGAGCUUGCUCUUACGGGUGGCGAGUGGCGGACGGGUGAGGAAUACAUCGGAAUCUACUUUUUCGUGGGGGAUAACGUAGGGAAACUUACGCUAAUACCGCAUACGACCUACGGGUGAAAGCAGGGGAUCUUCGGACCUUGCGCGAUUGAAUGAGCCGAUGUCGGAUUAGCUAGUUGGCGGGGUAAAGGCCCACCAAGGCGACGAUCCGUAGCUGGUCUGAGAGGAUGAUCAGCCACACUGGAACUGAGACACGGUCCAGACUCCUACGGGAGGCAGCAGUGGGGAAUAUUGGACAAUGGGCGCAAGCCUGAUCCAGCCAUACCGCGUGGGUGAAGAAGGCCUUCGGGUUGUAAAGCCCUUUUGUUGGGAAAGAAAAGCAGCAGGUUAAUACCCCGCUGUUCUGACGGUACCCAAAGAAUAAGCACCGGCUAACUUCG